GAUGAACGCUGGCGGCGUGCCUAACACAUGCAAGUCGAGCGAGAAACUUACAGAUGAAACUUCGGUAGAUUCAGUAGGUGGACAGCGGCGGACGGGUGAGUAACGCGUGGGCAACCUGCCCUUCACUGGGAGAUAGCCGUGGGAAACUGCGAGUAAUAUCCCAUAAUGCAUCAACAUCACAUGAGGUUGAUGCCAAAGAUUCAUCGGUGAAGGAUGGGCCCGCGUCUGAUUAGCUAGUUGGUAAGGUAGCGGCUUACCAAGGCGACGAUCAGUAGCCGGCCUGAGAGGGCGGACGGCCACAUUGGAACUGAGACACGGUCCAGACUCCUACGGGAGGCAGCAGUGGGGAAUAUUGCACAAUGGGCGAAAGCCUGAUGCAGCGACGCCGCGUGAGGGAAGAAGGCCUUCGGGUCGUAAACCUCUGUCCAAGGGGAAGAAAAAAAUGACGGUACCCUUGGAGGAAGCCCCGGCUAACUACGUG
rnacentral:rRNA from 1 species